rnacentral:rRNA from 1 species
CUGGCGGCGUGCCUAACACAUGCAAGUCGAGCGGGGUCCAUCCGGUAGCAAUACCGGGGAAGACCUAGCGGCGAACGGGUGAGUAACACGUGAGAAACCUGCCCCGAAGUCUGGGAUAACCCGAGGAAACUCGAGCUAAUACCGGAUGUCUUCUUCUGAUCGCAUGGUCGGAUGAAGAAAGAUUUAUCGCUCGGGAGGGUCUCGCGGCCUAUCAGCUAGUUGGCGGGGUAACGGCCCACCAAGGCGUCGACGGGUAGCUGGUCUGAGAGGACGAUCAGCCACACUGGGACUGGGACACGGCCCAGACUCCUACGGGAGGCAGCAGUGGGGAAUAUUGCGCAAUGGGCGAAAGCCUGACGCAGCAACGCCGCGUGCGGGAUGAAGGCCUUCGGGUUGUAAACCGCUCUCAGUGGGGACGAAUUCAGACGGUACCCACAGAAGAAGCCCCGGCCAACUACGUG